UACGAAGGGGGCUAGCGUUGUUCGGAAUCACUGGGCGUAAAGCGCACGUAGGCGGAUUGUUAAGUCAGGGGUGAAAUCCUGGAGCUCAACUCCAGAACUGCCUUUGAUACUGAAGAUCUUGAGUCCGGGAGAGGUGAGUGGAACUGCGAGUGUAGAGGUGAAAUUCGUAGAUAUUCGCAAGAACACCAGUGGCGAAGGCGGCUCACUGGCCCGGUACUGACGCUGAGGCACGAAAGCGUGGGGAGCAAACAGG
rnacentral:rRNA from 1 species